rnacentral:misc_RNA from 1 species
GCAACUGUUGGGAAUUAUGAUUAUGUUCUUGACUGGGAAUUCAAAAGAAGUGGCUCUAUUAAAAUGGGGGUUGCUUUAACAGGGCUUUUGGAGGUUAAAGCCACACCGUACAGAAAUACCAUGGAUGUAACCCAACAAACAUACGGAACUUUAAUCGCCGACAACACAAUCGCCGUCAACCACGACCACUACCUAACCUACU